rnacentral:lncRNA from 1 species
UGUCCAGUACCACACCUAUAAAUCUAACCCAUAUGUCCAGUACCACACCUAUAAUACUAACCCAUCGGUCCAGUACCACACCUAUAAUACUAACCCAUCUGUCCAGUACCACACCUAUAAUACUAACCCAUUUUUCCAGUACCACACCUAUAUUACUAACCCAUCUGUCCAGUACCACACGUAUAAUACUGCCCAUAACCCAUCUGUCUAGUACCACACCUGUAAUACUAACCCAUCUGUCCAGUACCACACCUAUAAUACUAACCCAUCUGUCCAGUACCACACCUAUAAUACUAACCCAUCUGUCCAGUACCACACCUAUAAUACUAAACCAUCUGUCCAGUACCACACCUAUAAUACUACCCAUGACCCAUCUGUCUAGUACAACACCUAUAAUACUAACCCAUCUGUCCAGUACCACACCUAUAAUACUACCCAUAACCCAUCUGUCUAGUACCACACCUAUAAUACUAACCCAUCUGUCCAGAACCACACCUAUAAUACUAACCCAUCUUUCUGGUACCACACCUAUAAUACUACCCAUAACCCAUCUGUCUAGUACCACACCUUUAAUACUAACCCAUCUGUCUAGUACCACACCUAUUAUACUACCCAUAACCCAUCUGUCUAGUACCACACCUAUAAUACUACCUAUAACCCAUCUGUCUAGUACCACACCUAUAAUACUAACCCAUCUGUGCAGUACCACACCUAUAAUACUAACCCAUCUGUCUAGUUCCACAUCUAUAAUACUACCCAUAACCCAUCUGUCCAGUACCACACCUAUAAUACUAAUCCAUCUGUCUAUUACCACACCUAUAAUACUAACCCAUCUGUCCAGUAACACACCUAUAAUACUAACCAUAACCCAUCUGUCUAGUACCACACCUAUAAUACUACCCAUCUGUCCAGUACCACACCUAUAAUACUAACCCAUCUGUCUAGUACCACACCUAUAAUACUACCCAUAACCCAUCAUUCUAGUACCACACCUAUAAUACUACCCAUAACCCAUCUGUCUAUUACCACACCUAUAAUACUACCCAUAAUCCAUCUUUCUAGUACCACACCUGUAAUACUAACCCAUCUGUCCAGUACCACACCUAUAAAUCUAACCCAUAUGUCCAGUACCACACCUAUAAUACUAACCCAUCGGUCCAGUACCACACCUUUAAUACUAACCCAUCUGUCCAGUACCACACCUAUAAUACUAACCCAUUUUUCCAGUACCACACCUAUAUUACUAACCCAUCUGUCCAGUACCACACGUAUAAUACUACCCAUAACCCAUCUGUCUAGUACCACACCUGUAAUACUAACCCAUCUGUCCAGUACCACACCUAUAAUACUAACCCAUCUGUCCAGUACCACACCUAUAAUACUAACCCAUCUGUCCAGUACCACACCUAUAAUACUAAACCAUCUGUCCAGUACCACACCUAUAAUACUACCCAUGAACCAUCUGUCUAGUACAACACCUAUAAUACUAACCCAUCUGUCCAGUACCACACCUAUAAUACUACCCAUAACCCAUCUGUCUAGUACCACACCUAUAAUACUAACCCAUCUGUCCAGAACCACACCUAAAAUACUAACCCAUCUUUCUGGUACCACACCUAUAAUACUACCCAUAACCCAUCUGUCUAGUACCACACCUAUUAUACUACCCAUAACCCAUCUGUCUAGUACCACACCUAUAAUACUAACCCAUCUGUCCAGUACCACACCUAUAAUACUACCUAUAACCCAUCUGUCUAGUACCACACCUAUAAAACUAACCCAUCUGUGCAGUACCACACCUAUAAUACUAACCCAUCUGUCUAGUUCCACAUCUAUAAUACUACCCAUAACCCAUCUGUCCAGUACCACACCUAUAAUACUAAUCCAUCUGUCUAUUACCACACCUAUAAUACUAAUCCAUCUGUCUAGUACCACACCUAUAAUACUAACCCAUCUGUCCAAUACCACACCUAUAAUACUAACCCAUCUAUCUAGUACCACACCUAUAAUACUAACCCAUCUGUCCAGUACCACACCUAUAAUACUACCAAUAACCCAUCUGUCCAGUACCACACCUAUAAUACUACCCAUAACCCAUCUGUCCAGUACCACACCUGUAAUACUAACCCAUCUGUCCAGUACCACACCUAUAAGACUACCCAUAACCCAUCUGUCUACUACCACACCUAUAAUACUAACCCAAUUUCAAAUCUGCUGUCAGACUUUCUAGAAUAAAUAACAAUAAAAAUUAUAUUCCUUAAUCAAUCUUUCUGCUACCAGACGAUGAAUGGAGGGAUCUCUGAAACCAGGAUAGAGAAGAGGAUUGUCAUCUCCAGAGAAGCAGGAGAUUUUGACCAUGAUCAGUGACAACAGACAUACAGUUUUUCCUCAUUGAUCUACACACGAUACCCCAUAAUGACAUCACAAUACCCCAUAAUGACAUCACAAUACUCCAUAAUGACAAAGCAAAAGCAGGUUUUUAGAAUUUUUUGCAAAUGUAUUACAAAAAAAUAAAUGAAAUAUUACAUUUUCAUAAGUAGACCCUUUUAGUCAGUACUUUGUUGAAGCACCUUUGGCAGCGAUUACAGCCUCAAGUCUUCUUGGGUAUGACGCUACAAGCUUGGUACGCCUGUAUUUGGGGAGUUUCUCACAUUCUUCUCUGCAGAUCCUCAGCGUCGCUGCACAGCUAUUUUCUGGUCUCUCCAGAGAUGUUCGAUCGCGUUCAAAUCCAGGCUCUGGCUGGAUCACUCAAGGACAUUCAGAGACUUGUCCCGAAGCCACUCCUGCGUUGUCUUGGCUGUGUGAUUAUUGUCGUUGUCUUGUUGGAAGGUGAACUUUCGCCCCAGUCCGAGGUUCUGAGUGCUCUGGAGCAGGUUUUCAUCAAGGAUCUCUCUGUACUUUGCUCCGUUCAUCCUUGCCUCCAUCCUCACUAGUCUCUCAGUCCCUGCCGCUGAAAAACAUCAGCACCACCAUGCUUCACCGUAGGGAUGGUGCCAGGUUUCCUCCAGACGUAACACUUAGCAUUCAGGCCAAAGAGUUCAAUCUUGGUUUCAUCAGACCAGAGAAUCUUGUUUCUCAUGUUCUGAGAUUCUUUAGGUGAUUUUUGGCAAACUCCAAGCGGGCUGUCA